GCAGAUAGUAAUUGACGAACACAACACACCACGUGGAGAGAAGCAAGGUGUGGAGUACCCAAGCCUCUCACAGUCCAUGCUAGUAGACUCACCCUGCAUGUGGAGAUCUCCCAAAAUGCACGGAGGUUAUUCCAGAGCUGCAGGACAGAGUACUUGAAGCCAUUGGUGAACAGAAAGCUGAGGUUGAACAAAGCCAAGAAUUGAUAGCUGCCCAAGGUGUAAGCAAGAUUCACAAUGAUGAGGUCAUUGUGACGUGUGCAAUGUGUCCACUGGUCUUGGCCUUCCUGACCAAGGCAGCCACACAAAGGAAAUUCCACGUUAUUGUUGCCGAACGUGCCCCUAAAUAUGAUGGUCACCCAGUGGCAAAAGCUUUAUGUACUGCUGGAAUUGAGACAACAUUAAUUCAAGACUCUGCAGUGUUCCCCAUCAUGUCACGUGUCAACAAGGUCAUCAAAGGUCAUCGUUGGCACCGAGACGGUGGUGACCAACGGAGGCAUUGAGACCUUUGUUGGUGCAGCCUCUCUUGCCUCACCACCAAAGUUUUAUUCUGUUCCACUGUAUGUGUGCACUCCCACAUACAAAUUUAGCUUGAUGGGCUGUGAAGAAAUAAGCCACCAAACCACCACUUCUAUUAUCCCAGAGGGAACAAAGUUUUGGCCGUCUGUAAAUACUGCGCUGACUCAGCUAGAUUACGUUCCUCCAGAAAAUGUCACCAGUUUGAUAACUAACAAGUGAGUUUGUGUUGUUCAUAUGACUGUGUGGUCCUUUCAAGGUGUGAUGUUGGGGGUUCAUUUAAUUUUUUCAUUUGCUUUCCUUGUUGGGCCUGGGCUGACCUCAGGAGACAUCAGUAUUUGUCAGCUUUAUGCACAAACUGUUAUUUAGCACUGUACUUCAUCUCCCAGUAAAACUUCUGAUCCUAAAUGCAUCAAAUGAAAGGCCUUUAUGUUUUACUUAUGAGUGAGAUAAACAACUUACUCAAUUUAUUAUACAGUAAAAUCCCUCUCAUCCGGCAGCUUCAAGUAUCCGGCACAUUUUUCCCCGAGCCUUAAAAUCAAUAAAAAAUCAAUGUGUACUCAGAAAAUCAAUUAAAAUUCCCACGCGAGGCAUACUCCGUCCCCUUGCCACCACAGCGCACUGCUUCACGCCACCCGCAGCCCACUGCACUGUGUUUACUCAGUGACUCAGUCCCGCGUGUGCACUGUUUAUCGCCUGACGCCUUCAUCACGCCUAAAGUUGUAGAAAAAAGGAAGUGUGUUGUGCUUACACUUAAGCAGCUGAUCAGAUCAGCUGAUCAUUGUUGUGGUAAGAUGCGUGAGUGUAGGGUGGUCACUGUGGACAUAAUUUCACUUCUAUUCAAGUAUCCGGCACGUCGGCGGUCCCGUUGAUGCCGGAUAAGAGGGAUUUUACUGUACCCUGUUUAUCUUGCACAUCUACUCACUUAGCUUUAAAUAAUGGCUGCUGACCAUUUAAAUCUCUUUUAUUUCAGUCGAGGUACUGCACCAUCCUACGUGUACCGGCAGCUUAGCGAACUGUACCGUCCCACUUCUUGUGUAACAAGAAGGUAACAGCUUUAAUCCUUGCAAAUAAGGAAUAAGAGAAAAGAGACACACCUGCCAUUUGUACUGUUAUGCUGUAGUGUUCUGUCAUUUUUUUCCUCUUUUAUCCUAGAACCAUUUUUGGUCAUUCAUGUUUCUAAAAAUUAUUAUACAAAAAUGUUGAGCUUAAUAUGUUUGGUGUAGUUUUUUGUAACAUGUGUUAUUGUUAAUGUGUGUGGUUCCCCUCAGGAAGAAUGUUGCAGUAUUAGCAGUAAUGUUACAGCCAAUGGAAGUGUCUGUAUUGUGCUUUGGUGGGAGGUUAAUUUGAUGUAUUUUUAGAGUUGUGCAGGAUAUUAUAGCAAGCCCUCAAAAUAAAGAAAAUAACUAUAGAAAACA